UACGGAGGGUGCAAGCGUUAUCCGGAUUCACUGGGUUUAAAGGGUGCGUAGGCGGCGCGGUAAGUCGGGUGUGAAAUCUCGGGGCUUAACUCCGAAACUGCAUUCGAUACUGCCGUGCUUGAGGACUGGAGAGGAGACUGGAAUUUACGGUGUAGCGGUGAAAUGCGUAGAUAUCAGUCGGAACACCGGUGGCGAAGGCGGCUUCUUGGGCCGUUACUGACGCUGAGGCGCGAAAGCCAGGGGAGCGAACGGG
rnacentral:rRNA from 1 species